rnacentral:rRNA from 1 species
UACGAAGGGUGCAAGCGUUAAUCGGAAUUACUGGGCGUAAAGGGUGCGUAGGCGGUUGUUUAAGUCUGCCGUGAAAUCCCCGGGCUCAACCUGGGAAUGGCGGUGGAUACUGGAUAGCUAGAGUGUGUCAGAGGAUGGUGGAAUUCCCGGUGUAGCGGUGAAAUGCGUAGAGAUCGGGAGGAACAUCAGUGGCGAAGGCGGCCAUCUGGGACAACACUGACGCUGAAGCACGAAAGCGUGGGGAGCAAACAGG